rnacentral:rRNA from 1 species
CCCUUAGAUGUCCUGGGCCGCACGCGUGCUACACUGAUGCAUACAGCGAGCACUUCCCGGCCCCGAAAGGCGGCUGGUAAUCAGCAAUAUGCAUCGUGAUGGGGAUAGUUCUUUGGAAUUCUUGAACUUGAACGAGGAAUGCCUAGUAGGCGCACGUCAUUACCGUGCGUCGAUUAAGUCCCUGCCCUUUGUACACACCGCCCGUCGCUCCUACCGAUUCGAGUGAUCCGGUGAACCCUUUGGACCGAGGCAGCUUGCUGUUUUGGAAAAUCGAGUAAACCACGUCACUUAGAGGAAGGAGAAGUCGUANCA